GGUGUUGUGGCUCAGUGGUAGAGCACUUGCCUAGCAUGUGUGAGGCACUAGGUUCGAUCCCCGGCACCA
rnacentral:tRNA from 1 species